CACUCCUGCGGGAGGCAGCAGUGGGGAAUUUUGGACAAUGGGCGAAAGCCUGAUCCAGCAAUGCCGCGUGAGUGAAGAAGGCCUUCGGGUUGUAAAGCUCUUUUGUCAGGGAAGAAACGGUGAAAGCUAAUAUCUUUUGCUAAUGACGGUACCUGAAGAAUAAGCACCGGCUAACUACGUGCCAGCAGCCGCGGUAAUACGUAGGGUGCAAGCGUUAAUCGGAAUUACUGGGCGUAAAGCGUGCGCAGGCGGUUUUGUAAGUCUGAUGUGAAAUCCCCGGGCUCAACCUGGGAAUUGCAUUGGAGACUGCAAGGCUAGAAUCUGGCAGAGGGGGGUAGAAUUCCACGUGUAGCAGUGAAAUGCGUAGAUAUGUGGAGGAACACCGAUGGCGAAGGCAGCCCCCUGGGUCAAGAUUGACGCUCAUGCACGAAAGCGUGGGGAGCAAACAGGAUUAGAUACCCCUGUAGUCCCAU
rnacentral:rRNA from 1 species